GACGAACGCUGGCGGCGUGCUUAACACAUGCAAGUCGAACGGAAAGGCCCCUUCGGGGUUGCUCGCGUGGCGAACGGGUGAGUAACACGUGAGUAACCUGCCCUUGACUUCGUGUUAACUUCAGGAAACUGGGGCUAAUACCGGAUAGGAAUCCUUUCUGCAUGGUGGGUGUUGGAAAGCUUCUGGGGGUUGGGAGGGAGUGGCGGCUUAUUAACUUGGUUGUGGGUUUGUUGCUUACCAAGGCUUUGACUGGUAGGCGGCCUGAGGGGGGGGACGGCCACAUUGGGAACGGGAUUAGGCCCAGAAUCCCAAGGGAGGCAGCAGUGGGGAAUAUUGCAAAAAGGGCGGAAGCCUGAUGCAGCAACGCCGCGGGCGGGAUGACGGGCUUCGGGUUGUAAAACGCUUUCAGCAGGGGAGAAGCUUGUGGUGACGGUACCUGCAGAAGAAGCACCGGCUAACUACGUG
rnacentral:rRNA from 1 species